UGGCUUUAACUAUAAAGUAAUGAAAAAGGUCAAAUUAGUGCAGUAAAAAGGUCACGAAAUACUGCAUUGCUGUAAUGAAUCGAAUUACGUAGUUUUAUUUAAUGACGUAAUAAGACAACCGUGGGUUAUGACGUCCAAAUAUGGGCUGAUUACGUAAUUGCAACAGCAGUGUCGUAUGUCAUGCACGUCUGCACGAGUGAAACCAUCACUGACCUUCGCAAAACAAAUGCCGCAUGUGUUCUUGUUUAUGAAACCAGAAAAUGUGGAAAUAAAUUUUCUUGGGCAACAUAGUAAUCGUCAAAAAAAAUCCAAAUUAAAAUACAAUUGCAAUAAUGUUUUAAUCAAUAUUUGAAGGUUGAAUCGUUAUUUUGACUGGCUAAGUUUUGUAGGCGAGACAUACGCCAGGUCUGCGUGUUUACAUCGUCAUAGAUAGCGGUGAGAACAAAACCCGGCGCUUCAAAGAUUUCUUAAAACGAUAAAUAUACGACGUUUUAAUGAAUAAUUCUCAUAGCAGCAUGUCAAAAUACUUCAAUUUUGAUGUUGCUGGAUUUUAACAUGCCACGCAAUGGCUGAAACAUCGCUCACUUCUCAAGAAAGUUGGUGGUGGGAAUGGUUGAAAUGGUGCCCAACGUCCGAGCAGCUUUUAGCCGAUGCCGAGUCGAGAGUUCUCAGCAGUGAGUCUUGCUCUUAAUUUAGUUCUUCUUGAGAAGUUUAGCAUCCAAAGAGCUUGUUUAGCUCGCCAUUUCAAUCUAAAUAGGUGUGGAUGUACCUUACGAAGGAAAGUACAUAACCACAUCAAAGAAUAAUCGGAUAUGGACUGUAGUCUUCAAUCCAAGUGGUUCUAAGACCCCUGUUUUGAUGGUCCAUGGUUUAGGAGCUGGUCUUGGAAUAUGGGUGAUGAAUAUUAAAGAGCUUUGCAAAGAUCGACCUGUUUACACAUUUGACUUGUUGGGAUUUGGUCGUAGCUCACGGCCGGAUUUUGAUGAAGAUCCCAAGUCUGUUGAAGAUGCAUUCGUUUCAUCAAUAGAAGAUACAGUGAUUGGUCUGGGGUUGGACAAAUUUAUCAUAAUUGGUCAUAGUUUUGGUGGAUAUUUGUCAUAUGCAUAUGCAAUAAAACAUACUCAACAUGUGAAAUCAUUAAUACUGGUUGACCCUUGGGGAUUCACAGAGAAGACUCAAGAUUGGAAAAGCAAUGUGCAUGUGCCAAAGUGGAUCAAAAUGAUGGCAGCUAUGUUAAGCCCUUUCAACCCAUAUGCCAUACUACGUUCGAGGACCAUUAGGACCUGCAGUUCUUCGAACUACACGACCAGAUUUAGAAAAAAAAUUCAUUAGUAUAUUUAGUGAUGACACAAUACCAAAUUAUCUUUAUCAUUGCAAUGUUCAAAAUCCAAGUGGGGAGACUGGGUUCAAGAGGUUAACCAUUCCAUAUCUAUGGCCAAGAUUUCCCAUGAUGCAUCGUAUUAAAGAACUUAAUCAAGAGGUAAAAGUUUUCAUGCUGUUUGGAUCAAGAACUCGUAUAGAUGCAAGUAUAUCCAAUGACAUCAAAGAAAUCCGACCAGAACAGUUUGAGAUUUAUAGUGUUAAAAAUGCAGGCCAUCAUGUUUUUGCUGAUAGGCCAAAUGAAUUUAACAAUAUAAUAAUUGAAAUUUGUCAAAAAGUCGAGACUACAUAAAUUUUAAAUUUUAAAAGUAAACAUAUUUUUAACCGCACAGGUUUGCAGGAUCUUAAUUAAAGAUGGGUUUGAAAAAUAAUUACAAAAAAGAGGAGUUAUAUGACUACAAAAUAUAAUAUGUAGGCAUUCAUUCCUCGUUUAUUUAUGUAGAUUUAGAUUAAUAGUUAUACAAGCUAAAUAAAGAUUAUUAUAUUAAAAUUAGACUAUACAAUUCCCUGAGUUAUAUCACAACAGUGACAUUCUCGACCCUAUACUAAAAUUCUUGAUGUUAACUACAUGUAAAUUACUAAACGAUACAACAUAGACUGUCCUCAGUAUCUCUCACCUUGAUAUUGGAGAGAUGUUUUUGGAACGAAAAUACCCAGUUACCUGUUCUGGGAUUUCAGCUAGAACACAUUUUGCCAAUUCAGCAGGUGAAGACUAAAGAAAAAAUUCCUUGGUGAUGACAUAAAUUUUAAUGACAAAAGUCAUCAUUAAAUUUAUAUGCAAAAAAUAAUAAACUGACGUGCAUUUUAGUAAACCAAUACUAAACUA